rnacentral:lncRNA from 1 species
UGUGAAUCUUAUAUGAUGUCUUCAAUCUUCUGGUGUCACCUUUGCUAUAAUUUUGGUUUGGCUGGCACAGAAGUAUGACCACAAGAUGGACCUAAAAUAUGCACAUUUGUAAGAUUUUCCCCCAUGGUGGGAUUCACACCAUCUGCUCCCCGGUUCUCUGAUCCAAUCUGUAUUCAUCACCAGAUUUCCUGGGUUUCUAACUUACAGACAACAAAUUGUGAGACUUCUCAGCCUCCAUAAUCACAUGAACCACCUUCUCUUAAUAAAUAUAUGUAUUUAUGUGCUGGGCUCAGUGGCUGACACCUUUAACACCAGCAAUUCAGGAGGCCGAGGUGGGCGGAUCACCUGAGGUCGGGAUUUAGAGACCAGCUUGACCAACAUGGAGAAACCCCAUCUCUACUAAAAAUACAAAAUUAGCCAGGACUGGUGGCUUAUGCCUGUAAUCCCAGCUAUUUGGGGGGCUGAGGCAGGAGAAUUGC